CGCCGGGCGUCUCUCCACAAAUCCAGCGCGAACAGUGAAUCAGUUGCGGCGCAGAGCAUCCCCUCAGCCGGGGCGAGGCGGCGGUGCCACUUUACUUUUAUGAGCGAGUAAAUCAGGUGCACCUCGAGCAGAUCCACCCGCCGGCCCGCCACGGCUCCGUCAGCGCCGUAAAACUCGCCGGUGGCAGGGAGGUCGUAACUCGUACGCCGAGAGUUCGCCCCAGAUUACUUCGCAGGAUUCGAACGUGAUCCCGAAGGUGUCAAGACAGCACAAGACGAAUUUGCCAACACUCUGCGCAGAGCAGCGCGCGAAUUAAGUUCCUCUACACGGGCUUCAGUGCGCCGCCACUUAAGCAACGUACACUUGUAUGUGACUUUAAGACUAACAACAUACGACAUAUAAAGCGAGCACGAGGAAGAUGCAUGCCAUUUGUACCCGAGUUAGCAGACGAAAGCAGAGAGGGGAGGCAAAUUAGAGCGUGGUGCCCACGGGGUGCGACCAGUGACUUGUCUACGCUAAUACGAAGAGCAAACGAACGCGCGUUUAGCGCCCUAACACCGGAUUAGCGAGCCGAGACAUGGUGGCGACUCCACUGCCGCCGUGUCGUCCCUACAUCUGUUGCCGAUGUCUUUAUUACGUCAAUUCAACCACACGCAAAAUAGGCGCUUUGCCGUCGAGUUGCGGACAUCAGCCCGUUGCA